UACGUAGGGUGCGAGCGUUGUCCGGAAUUAUUGGGCGUAAAGAGCUCGUAGGCGGUGUGUCACGUCGUUCGUGAAAACCUGCAGCUUAACUGUGGGCGUGCGGUCGAUACGGGCAUCACUGGAGUUCGGCAGGGGAGACUGGAAUUCCUGGUGUAGCGGUGAAAUGCGCAGAUAUCAGGAGGAACACCGGUGGCGAAGGCGGGUCUCUGGGCCGAUACUGACGCUGAGGAGCGAAAAGCGUGGGGAGCAAACAGG
rnacentral:rRNA from 1 species